GUACAAGUAAAAUGUGUUGAACAUCCAAUCAUGGGCUUAAACUGAAUCCAAGAACCGGGAUGAACAGACAUAGACAUCCCUCCUUCCUUCACAGACGGAGGAAGGCAGCUCUUUAUCCGGGAGUUUUGGACAUCUGAAUGGAGGAGGUCCCAGAGCACAGUGUUGGUACAAAGAGGCAAUGGAACCAAUGAACUCAACUGAUGUCUCAAUGAAGGAUUGGGUUCAUCCCUAUCAAGAGAAGAAAGAUGACUCAUGGAAGAAAAAACUAAACAGACUUGCAAACAAGAUGUAAAAAAAAAAAAAAAAUGUCUAGCUUGUGUUUAUCAUUCCUGGCAUCUACCAGAAAUCUGUUUAUGCUAUGAU